UCCGCGAUAGCUCAGUUGGUAGAGCAAGUGACUGUUUAAUCACUGGGUCCCUGGUUCGAGUCCAGGUCGUGGAGCCA
rnacentral:tRNA from 1 species